rnacentral:rRNA from 1 species
CAAUAGCGUAUAUUAAAGUUGUUGCAGUUAAAAGCUCGUAGUUGGAUUUCUGGGAGGGUGCCAAUGUCCGCCGACGUGCGUGCGCAGCGGCGCCCUCUCAUCCUUCUGUUAACGUCUCUCAGCAUUUAUUUGCCGGUGGCGGGCUCAGAUAUUUUACCUUGAGAAAAUUAGAGUGUUUCAGGCAGGCUAGGCCGGAAUACAUUAGCAUGGAAUAAUGGAAUAGGACUUCGGUCUCCUUGUUGGUUUGAGGGACUGCAGUAAUGAUUAAUAGGGAUAGUUGGGGGCGAUUAGUAUUUAAUUGUCAGAGGUGGAAUUCUCAGAUUUGUUUAAAGACUAACUUAUGCGAAAGACAUUUGUCCAAGGAUGUUUUCUAUUAAUUCAAGAACGAAAGUUAAGGGGUAGUCAAAGAACGAUCAGAUACCAU